rnacentral:rRNA from 1 species
GAUGAACGCUGGCGGCGUGCCUAAUACAUGCAAGUCGAGCGAACGGACGAGAAGCUUGCUUCUCUGAUGUUAGCGGCGGACGGGUGAGUAACACGUGGAUAACCUACCUAUAAGACUGGGAUAACUUCGGAAAACCGGAGCUAAUACCGGAUAAUAUUUUGAACCGCAUGGUUCAAAAGUGAAAGACGGUCUUGCUGUCACCUAUAGAUGGAUCCGCGCUGCAUUAGCUAGUUGGUAAGGUAACGGCUUACCAAGGCAACGAUGCAUAGCCGACCUGAGAGGGUGAUCGGCCACACUGGAACUGAGACACGGUCCAGACUCCUACGGGAGGCAGCAGUAGGGAAUCUUCCGCAAUGGGCGAAAGCCUGACGGAGCAACGCCGCGUGAGUGAUGAAGGUCUUCGGAUCGUAAAACUCUGUUAUUAGGGAAGAACAUAUGUGUAAGUAACUGUGCACAUCUUGACGGUACCUAAUCAGAAAGCCACGGCUAACUACGUG